ensembl:lncRNA
CUCCUCUCUUUCAGUUGAAGGUGAAUAGAAUAAUCCCUCUACUCCUCUUUCAGUUGAAGGAGAAUAGAACGUUCCCUCUACUUCUGUCCUUCAGUUGAAGGAGAAUAGAACGUUCCCUCUACUUCUGUCCUUCAGUUGAAGGAGAAUAGAAUGUUCCCUCUACUUCUGUCCUUCAGUUGAAGGAUAAUAGAAUGUUCCCUCUACUCCUCUUUCAGUUGAAGGAGAAUAGAAUGUUCCCUCUACUCCUCUUUCAGUUGAAGGAUAAUAGAAUGUUCCCUCUACUCCUCUUUCAGUUGAAGGAGAAUAGAAUAAUCCCUCUACUCCUCUUUCAGUUGAAGGAGAAUAGAAUGUUCCCUCCUUCAGUUGAAGGAGAAUAGAAUGUUCCCUCUACUCCUCUUUCAGUUGAAGGAGAAUAGAAUGUUCCCUCUACUCCUCUUUCA